UCCAGCACCCUCGAGCCCAGAUUCCAAACUACUCAGGUCCUGUGGACAGAUCACUGAGUGGCGAUGGCUGCAGAUCCUCAAGCAAACCUAUGACAAGUUUGACGCCAACAUGCGCAGCGAUGACGCUCUGCUCAAAAACUAUGGGCUGCUCUCCUGCUUCAAGAAGGACCUGCACAAGGCAGAGACCUACCUGCGGGUCAUGAAGUGUCGCCGCUUUGCGGAAAGCAGCUGUGCUUUCUAGGCACACACUGGUGUCUCUGCGGCACUCCCCCGUUACCCCCCUGUACUCUGGCAACUGCCACCCCUACACUUUGUCCUAAUAAAAUUAAGAUGCAUC
rnacentral:lncRNA from 1 species